GGUAGCCAAGUGCCUUGUCAUCUAAUUAGUGAAGCGCAUGAAUGGAUUAACGAGAUUCCCACUGUCCCUAUCUACUAUCUAGCGAAACCACAGCCAAGGGAACCGGCUUGGAAAAAUCAGCGGAGAAAGAAGACCCUGUUGAGCUUGACUCUAAUCUGACUCUGUGAAGAUACAGGCUUAUUGAUAAGUAAG